GUCCAGGAGGGAAAAAUGACCCGGAACGACCUUUGCCGGCCUGGGCCAGCCCUCUUCCGGAGCUGAUGUCUCCUCCCACCAACCAGGAGAGAUCACUUUUUAAUUCGGGCCUCUGCAGCAUUAGAAAAAUUGAAACUCCUGUGUGGAGAAGAGAAAGAAUGUUCAAAUCCAUCAAAUCUUCUAGAACUUUACACACAGGCUGCUGUGUGGACAACACCUUUUUUUCUUGGUUUUCUGAAACACUGCUGAGGCAUGCUAACAUCAGGAAAUGUAAUUUUAUUAUAGCUAUUUUGGACAUGACAUAUUUUGAGGAGAACAAGCUAGUAGAUGAAGAUUUUCCUGAAGACUCUUCUUCACAGAAAGUAAAAGAGCUGAUCAGUUUUCUUUCAGAACCAGAAAUUUUAGUCAAGGAAAAUAAUAUGCAUCCAAAACACUGCAAUUUGCUUGGGGAUGAGCUACUGGAAUGUCUCUCUUGGAGACGAGGAGCCCUGCUGUAUAUGUAUUGUCAUUCUCUUACCAAAAGAAGAGAGUGGCUCUUAAGAAAAUCCAGUUUGCUUAAAAAG
rnacentral:sRNA from 1 species